rnacentral:lncRNA from 1 species
CCGGAUCCAACGGCUGCCCGCACCUCUCUAGCCAAGAACGUAGCUUUGUCCUCCUCACAUUUUCCAUCCACCCCCUGCCUCCUUUCUUCCUCUCUUCUCCUUCCUCCCUCCUCCCGUGCUCUGUCCUCCCAUCGCCUCCCCUCAUGGAGCUCAUCACUCCGCACAUGGCCUCCUCCGUGCCCUCCUCCUCCCGUACACUCCCCUCCCCUCCCAUCCCAUCCCUUCCCAUCAGCAGAAAGGAGAGAAGAACACAAGGGAGGGAGAUCCACCACAACCCAGCCAAAGCUUUCUCACCUCGCCGGCAGGUCCCUAUGUCGUCCCCCGCCUCCUCCUCCCCCAGCCCCGACCAUAUUCCCUUCCGCCACACCUGCCUACUCCGCCUAAUCCACCGCUGUCUCCAACUCCGUGGCAUACGGAGACAACAUCAUCAACCCGCCGCUCACCUACUUUGACUUCCAACCCUUCGACCGCAUGGAGCCUGCGCACGUCCGCCCGGGAUCCACGCGCUCCUCGCCCACCUUGUAAUCCCUCUCCCUCCCUCGGUGUCGUCUCUCGCUUCUCUUCCUCGUCGUUGCUACCGCGCCAGUCCGAUCUAUGCAUGCGGGUCCUUUUGGGCGGAUUGGGUGGAUCUGGGUCGUCUAGGGCCUCAUUUUGCAGCAACACAGCUGAGUUCUGAGCUGAUACUUCCCUUCCCAUGUCGCCAUGUGUGUGCAAAAAAAAUCAUCGCUUGCUUGAUUAGCAUUAGAAGUUGGUGCCACGAGAGGAUUAAUUCCCUCCUUCGUUUGUCAAACUGUGAUUAGUGCAAUGAAGUCGUUCUAAUGUUGUCCUCAAAUGCUUCGAGUUCAUGUUGGAGUGUCGAUUUCCUUUGCCGGCUGGCUCAUCGGCUCCUAUGCCGGACAAAUAAGGAGCUUGUUGGUUGGUCGGAUGUUGCUUGCAAGACCGAGCAAUCCUUUGUUCUCUCCCUACUUGUUGCACACACACAUACAGACACUACGAGAGCUUGACAUGUACUCCUAUAUUAUUUUUUUUGGGAGGUCCGACCUCAUGUGUGUUAUUUUCACCUGUAAAAUAAAACCAUCUUUUCUUUUUGCUCUCGAUCCAUUCCUACUGGAUGGUUGGUUCACUUCGUUGGCCGACGUAUGCUGGUGUUGCAGGCCACACCACAAAAUGGUGCCAGACAAGAAAGUACUUGUUGGUUAGUGAUUAUGUAUGUGGCUGGGCACCAUGUUUUUUCUGCUGCACCAGGGAAUACUGAAUCAUGCUUGCACUAUGUAUGAAUGGCUCUCCCUGCGGUGCUGAGAGUAAAUGAUGGCAUCACGGGUCUCCAUUGUGGCAUAUGUGUGCUUUGUUUCCAUCUUGUUUUUCCAUCUUGUUAGAUAGAAUGCUUCAAAUUCUUUAAUUGUGUUUGGAUGAACUCUCUCCUGUCAUAUAUCCCAUAUGCUGAUUGAAGGAUUUGGUACACCUGAACAUGCUGGACUAUAAUGGGUAUCCACUUAUCUUUGCUAAACUAACUGUCCACCCAUCGUUUCCUUUCGUAUCACCAUUCACACAAGAGUGGUAGUCCAUUGCUGUGUGUGUUGUCGCUCAGAAAUAGACCUGUUCAGGUGCUACUUUCCACAUCAAAAUAGACAUGUAAUAUGGAGUAGUGUGAGAUGUUUUUUCUCUCUUACCAUCUUGUUGAUGUUAUCUUUGUAUACGACAAUGUACUUUAUGGUUAACUAAUCUUGUACAUGUUUUGUUUCACCUCUCUUUUCAUGUUGCUUGUUUGAGCUAACGUAUGUUAUUUCUGCUAUAGCCAUGGCAGGAAUGGCAUCGGAAGGUUCCCAGUUUGACACUAAGAAUUAUGAUUCUGAGAUGAAGGAGCUGCUGCACCGGAAGGUCCGAGAUGCUAUUGGUGCUGGUCUUGUUCCUUUGUCUAGGUUUGUGUAGAUUUAUUCCACCGGUUGCUGCUAGUGUUAGGUAGUUGUUGUGGGUUUCUAACUUUGCAACGCUGAGGAUAUCUUUUAUGUUGCACCUGAAUUUCUUUAUUGAAGCCGUUAGGCUUGGUAGUUGCUUGUAAGUCUUGAGCAUCGGUUCUACUCUGAAAAAUCAUUUUGUCUCAGUUACCUUUAUCAAUUUGAUGUAAUUAGGAUUGGUUAUUGUUGAGCGGUAAUUCAAAAAUAUAGUUAUGCCCUUUCAGAAUAGUUUAAGUUGAUUCUUUAUUGUCGACGAAUUAGAUGGUUACAAAACAUUAAAAUUAUGUGAAUUUUAGUCUUCGAGAUGUGCACAUGGAUGUCACACAUUUGCAUACCUAAAAUUGCUCAUUAUCAUUUAAUGUCUUUUUUAUGCUGCAUCUUGGUCGACAUAGAAAUCACAUUUUCCCAGUUCUUCGAAAUAAUAAUUUAAGAUAUCUAAUGUCGUAGGCUUGAGAAUACAAUGUGGUUUAUAUAUGCUAUUUCAAAAAAAUCAGUGCAAAAGUGUUUCCAUAGGUCAUUAUGGAAUCUAAGAAAUAUUUUUUUGCAUUAUAUAGGUCCAAAUUGAAGUUAGAAAACACUUAGUAUAUAAAUUAUGUACUUUAAAAAAUAUUUUAAAUAUUAAAUCAAAGAAUUAUCUUUUUUUCUUGCGGUUGUAUCCAAAAAGUCUUUUUUAUAGUGCACAUUAAAAAAAUGCAGGGUAGUCCGAAUUAACUCUAUUGUUUAUAGAAAAUAAUAAUUAAAUAUCAUGUUCACUUGCAAACAUCUAUUCCAUAUUGUGACCCAAUCCUGCACAAAUACGCAUGCAGAUUCCCUAUGUAUGGAUCACUAGUAAAUCUCCUUUCUAGUACUACAUCAUGCACAUUUAAGAAAAGUAGUACAUUAGACAAUCCCAUCCAUCCAUGGAAAUGUGUUGAUACGCUGAUCUUUUUGUUUAUUGAUUUUCCUUGGUGGCUGUCCAUAACGUGUCUAGGAUAUAUUUUGUUUUUUGAAAGGAAUGUUCAUAAUAUAUUGGCUCCGAUUUUUCUAAUUCUUCUCAGCUGAUUAUGUAAUAGGAUGACCAUGGAAGUCCCAGCCCUGACUAUGGCCCUCAAGUGACGUCGGCCUUUGAUCGCCAUCGAAGGAGCUCCAUGCUGAAGAAGAGAACACUUGUAGAGCUUGUAACCGUGAUUCCCAUACUUGUAGAGCAUGUAUGUAGUUAUUACACUUGUAGAGCUUGUAAAGUACAACUUGUAUUCUGUGUCACUUGUAGAGCUUGUAUUGAUUCAUUUUACACCUUGUAUUAUGUUUUUUGCUUGCCAAUUGAAAUACUGGUUAUUUUCUUAUUGCAAAUUAAAAUACGAAGAAUCUAAGCCUAAUAGCUGGGACCCACUUAUUAGAACGUGACAAGGUGGACCUAUUUGACUAGUG